AUUGAACACUGGCGGCAUGCCUUACACAUGCAAGUCGAACGGCAGCACGGGGGCAACCCUGGUGGCGAGUGGCGAACGGGUGAGUAAUGCAUCGGAACGUGCCCAGUAGUGGGGGAUAACCAGUCGAAAGACUGGCUAAUACCGCAUACGACAUAAGGGUGAAGGCGGGGGAUCGCAAGACCUCGCGCUAUUGGAGCGGCCGAUGUCUGAUUAGCUAGUUGGCGGGGUAAAGGCCCACCAAGGCGACUAUCAGUAGCUGGUCUGAGAGGACGACCAGCCACACUGGGACUGAGACACGGCCCAGACUCCUACGGGAGGCAGCAGUGGGGAAUUUUGGACAAUGGGCGCAAGCCUGAUCCAGCCAUGCCGCGUGAGUGAAGAAGGCCUUCGGGUUGUAAAGCUCUUUCGGCCGGGAAGAAAUCGCAUCAGCUAAUACCUGGUGUGGAUGACGGUACCGGAAUAAGAAGCACCGGCUAACUACGUGCCAGCCGCCGCCGUAACAC
rnacentral:rRNA from 1 species